AUGGCAGAACGGGCCAAUCUGGUCUUUCACAAUAAAGCGAUAGAUGGAACUGCCAUGAAACGACAUAUUAGUAGAUUAACAGAACACUUCGGAAUGGCAUAUACAUCACAUAUCCUGGAUCAAGUAAAAACUCUGGGGUUCCAACAAGCUACUACUACAUCCAUUUCAUUAGGAAUUGAUGAUCUUUUAACAAUACCUUCUAAGGGAUGGCUAGUUCAAGAUGCUGAACAACAAAGUUUGAUUUUGGAAAAACACCAUCAUUAUGGGAAUGUACAUGCGGUAGAAAAAUUACGUCAAUCCAUUGAAAUAUGGUAUGCAACAAUGAAUAUUUGCGCUAAGAAAUGAAUUUGAAUUUUAGGAUGACUGACCCUUUUAAUCCAGUUCAUAUAAUGUCUUUCUCGGGAGCUCGAGGAAAUGCAUCUCAGGUACAUCAAUUAGUAGGUAUGAGAGGAUUAAUGUCGGAUUCUCAAGGACAAAUGAUUGAUUUACCUAUUCAAAGCAAUUUACGCGAAGGACUCUCUUUAACAGAAUACAUCAUUUCUUGCUACGGAUCCCAUAAAAGAGUUGUGGAUAUUGUUGUACGAACAUCAGAUGCUAGAUAUUUCACUCGCAGACUUGUUGAAGUAGUUCAACACAUUGUUGGACGUCGAACGGACUGUGGCACCGCCCGGGGUAUUUCUGUGAGUCCUCAGAAUGGGAUAAUGCCGGAAAGGAUUUUUAUUCAAACAUUAAUUGACCGUGUAUUAGCAGAUGAUAUAUACAUGGGUUCAUGAUGUAUUGCCACUAGAAACCAAGCCAUUAACAUUGGACUUGUAAAUCGAUUCAUAACCUUUCGGGCACAACCAAUCUCUAUUGGAACUCCCUUUACUUGUAGGAGUACAUCUUGGAUUUGUCGAUUAUGUUAUGGACGUAGUCCUACUCAUGGGACCUGGUUGAAUUGGGGGAAGUUGUAGGUUUUAUUGCAGGUCAAUCGAUUGGAGAAUCGGAUACUCAAUUAACAUUACGAACUUUUCAUACCGGAGGAGUAUUCACGGGGGAUACUGCAGAACAUGUGUGAUCCCCAUCUAAUGGAAAAAUAAAAUUCAAUGAGGACUUGGUUCAUCCGACAUGUACACAUCAUGGGCAUCCCACCUUUCUAUGUUCUAUAGACUUGUAUGCAACUAUUGAGAGUGAAGAUAUUCUACAUAAUGUGAAUAUUCCACCCAGAAGUUUGCUUUUAGUUCAAAACGAUCAAUAUAUAGAAUCAGAACUAGUAAUUGCUGAGAUUCGGUCAGGAAUAUCCACUUUGAAUUUUAAAGAGAAGGUUCAAAAACAUAUUUAUUCUAAUUCAGACGGAGAAAUGCACUGGAGUACCGAUGUCUAUCAUGCACCCAAAUUUACAUUUGGUAAUGUUCAUUUAUUACCAAAAACAAGUCAUUUAUGGAUAUUAUUAGGAGGGCCGUGCAGGUCUAGUCUAGUCUGCCUUUCGAUCCACAAGGAUCAAGAUCAAAUGAAUGCGCAUUCUCUUUCUGAAGAUAGGAUUCCUGAUUAUUCAAACCUUAAUCGAAUCAUAUGUACUGGUCAAUAUAAUCUCGUAUAUUCGCCUAUUCUUCAUGGGAAUUCUGAUUUAUUGUCAAAAAGGUGAAGAAAUAAAUUCAUCAUUCCACUACACUCGUUCAAGAACUCGAGAAUGAACUAAUGCCCUGUUCACGUAUCUCGAUUGAAAUCCCCGUAAAUGGUAUUUUUCGUCGAAAUAGUAUUCUUGGUUAUUUCGAUGAUCCUCGAUACAGAAGAAAGAGUUCGGGCAUUAUUAAAUAUUGGACUAUAGAAACACAUUCAGUCAUUAAAAAAGAGGAUUUGAUUGAGUAUUGAGGAAUCAAGGAAUCUAGGCCAAAAUACCAAAUGAAAGUAGAUCGAUUUUUUUUCAUUCCUGAAGAGGUGCAUAUCUUGCCCGGAUCUUCUUCCAUAAUGGUACGGAACAAUAGUAUCGUUGGGGUCGAUACACAAAUCACCUUAAAUCUAAGAAUCCGAGUCGGUGGUUUGGUCGGGUGGAUAGAAAAAUGAAACGAAUUGAACUGAAAAUCUCUUUUGAAG